rnacentral:lncRNA from 1 species
AAAAAUGGUCUAUAUAUUUCGCAUCACUUCCUCUCUCCACUCUCUUUAUGGCAGAGAGGUGGCUCUGGCUCUCUUUUGAGGUGGAGACGUGGCUGGUGGCAGCGUGCUAGGCAUCUUGGCGUUUUGGCGUGCUUGCAGCUCUUGUCCAGUCUUGGAGAGCUGCAACAAAGCAUUUAUACUCUUGAGAAGUGAUUUGAAGUAGAUAGGACAUUGAACUUGGAAUCUGGAAGACUUGGGUACAAAUUGCAUCUCAGUCAUUUAGUGGCUGCAUGACCCUGGACAAGUAAGUUAAUAAAUAUGUUUU